rnacentral:lncRNA from 1 species
GCACAUUCCGCAGAUGAAAGAUCUGUGAGAGUCUGAGACGUUCGGGACACACUUCUGAUUUUGCGGGGUCUCUCUCUUUUCCGAAUUCUUCGUCCGCUGUUUACAGAACACCAGCCACAGUGUUUGGGGAUGCACGGGAAUGAGAAACAGUCCCUCCUUUCAGGGAUCUUCCAAUCCGGCGGGUGGAGGAGCAGGAACUGAAGAAGAGGUUGAAGAUGGGACAGUUGGAACAGUGAAAAGACAGCAGCCGUGUAUCGAUACACAGACUCAGGGCCAGAGAAGACAAGAAAAUGAAGCCCCUGGAGGAAAUUAUCGACUGAAACAGAACAAAAGGAUCCUGGUUAAGCCCCUGCCCUGCCCCGGCAAAAUCCAGUGGAAGUGAUGUUCAAGUACACCCUGGCUAAUGGCCGGGGGAAUGGAAAAAUGAAUGUGUAAGAUGGAAAAAUUUAUACCUAUUCUCUCUUAGCAGUAAGGCCUAAAGGGAUGUAGUUAGGGUGUCCCAUUAUGGAAACAUUGUCCUAUGUGUUCUGCAUUAAAGUGUUAUUAGAGCAAAAAUAUGAUCAAGUGUUCAAGAAGGCUGGUCUGUGGAAAAAGUUCAAAAGAACUCCUGUGUAAAUGACUCUUCAGUGAGCAUGUUGAAGUUCUUAACUGCCCAACUCCAGAAUUCAUGACUUCCACUGACUUAGCCAGAGGAAGGUUACUAACCAGGCCUAAUUUACAGAUGGCAGGUCUGUGGCAGGCAGCCUAGAAGUGAUUUUCCCAAGGUUAUAGAGCAAGCCAGAGGGUGAGCUGAAAAUAGAACCCUACCUCACACUCGCAUGCAGGCUAUAUGAUAACUUGUGUACUGUCAGCAAGGAGUUGAGGAAUGAAUGUCCUGGAAAGGUUAGCAUAGUUUUAUGGCUAAAGGAGCCUUGCUCAACAAUUGCAAAUGCUACCCGACAACAGCAAAUGACCUACUUAAUCUUAUAAACAGUAACAAUGUAGACAAUUAAGCAAAAGUUUCGGGGAAAAAUUACUUUUUGACAAUAGCACAAUUUAAAAAAUACACAGCUCCAUAAGCAUGAAGCCACUACUUGUGUCAUGCACACACUUCAGUGAUAGUCUCCCUCUUCCUCUAAAGACUAAACUUCCGAGUGGUAACUCUCAACACUGUAAUACCAGCAAGCUUACAGGAUCUGGCAGAACUGCCUAAACAUUGUCAGAAGUGUAGGAAUUUUCUGGAUUUCUGGAAGGGUAGGAUUUUAGGCCUCAGUGAUAAUGUGCUAUACGUUUCCUUAACUGAAUUAACAGAACUGGAAAGUACAAUGGGAUAGUCAGGGAGUUAGAGCCCCAGGGCUUAGUCACUAAAUUUAUGUUUCUUGGGUCCCCAGGCUAUGGAGGGAUUGCUUAGCCAGCUACUAUGCUGUACUUGAGCAACGGUGCUCAUAUUUUUAGGAAAAACAACAAAAGCUAGUACCACUGUUAGGUGACCCCUUCUCUAGAGUAGAUUUUUACCUUGCACUGAUCUAGUCAACAAAAAGCUUUACAAAUUUAUGUUUUCAGGAGUGUUGCUGGUCCCAUUCCCACUUUUCAGAAAGGGUUCUUCUUGAUGAUUGCUGUGCUGCGUUAAUACUUUCGGGCCAGCUCUAAGAGAAUGUCACAAACACUCACAGACUCUGGACUUCUUGACUGCAAGUUUCCUUCCCUUCACAUCAGAGGCCGCACUAUUACUGUUUAGCACAGUGCUUCGGUGGUUCCUUCCACAAGUCCCUGACCAAAAAGAUAACAUCUAAAUCUACAGUAGAGGAAAGAAAGUGAUACGUCCAGCAACUAUUUCUCAGAGAACUCUCUUUUAACUGGUAAGAGUGCUGGAAGCCAGUCCCCUUUCCAUAGCAUAGCAUCAUAUCUGAAACCACCUUACAGAGGCCCCAUAACGAGCAGGAAUGACAGAACUGCC